GAUGAAGAACGUAGUGAAAUGCGAUACGUAAUGUGAAUUGCAAAUUCAGUGAAUCAUCGAGUCUUUGAACGCACAUUGCGCCCCCUGGUAUUCCGGGGGGCAUGCCUGUCCGAGCGUCGUUGCUGCCCUCAAGCACGGCUUGUGUGUUGGGCCCCGUCCUCCGAUCCCGGGGGACGGGCCCGAAAGGCAGCGGCGGCACCGCGUCCGGUCCUCGAGCGUAUGGGGCUUUGUCACCCGCUCUGUAGGCCCGGCCGGCGCUUGCCGAUCAACCCAAAUUUUUAUCCAGGUUGACCUCGGAUCAGGUAGGGAUACCCGCUGAACUUAAGCAUAUCAAUAAGCGGAGGA
rnacentral:misc_RNA from 1 species